rnacentral:rRNA from 1 species
UACGUAGGGGGCAAGCGUUGUCCGGAUUUAUUGGGCGUAAAGAGCGUGUAGGCGGUCAGGUAGGUCCGUUGUGAAAACUCGAGGCUCAACCUCGAGACGCCGAUGGAAACCAUCUGACUAGAGUCCGGAAGAGGAGAGUGGAAUUCCUGGUGUAGCGGUGAAAUGCGCAGAUAUCAGGAGGAACACCCGUAGCGAAGGCGGCACUCUGGGCCGGAACUGACGCUGAGGAGCGAAAGCGUGGGGAGCGAACAGG